AAAGCAGGCUGCAAUUACAGUGCUUCAUUUUGUGGGAGUACUGCCAUUUUCCUGCUGAGAGUAACUCUGUUAAUAUUGCCUUUGAUUUCACUAUGCGUUGGUGAAACCGCUAAUCAUUAACAUGUACAAGU
ensembl:snoRNA